rnacentral:rRNA from 1 species
UACGUAGGGAGCAAGCGUUGUCCGGAAUCAUUGGGCGUAAAGCGCGCGUAGGUGGCCUCAUAAGUCCGCUGUGAAAGUCAAAGGCUCAACCUUUGAAAGCCGGUGGAUACUGUGAGGCUAGAGUAAGGAAGAGGCGAGUGGAAUUCCUGGUGUAGCGGUGGAAUGCGCAGAUAUCAGGAGGAACACCAAUAGCGAAGGCAGCUCGCUGGGACGUUACUGACACUGAGGCGCGAAAGCGUGGGGAUCGAACAGG